CUCCCCCGUGGUGAUGUUGUAGGACUGCACCGUCAGCACGUCCUCCGUCUGACUGGGACGUCGUUGCCGCCGACCCGCCUCCAGCUCGUGGGUGUAGCCGCCCACCAGGUAGAUGGUGUCUUCGACUGAGAGCAUCUGCUGCUUGCGGAUGUGAGCCGAACAGGACCGAAACACCGUCCAGGUGUCAGAGGCGGAGAACUCAGCCAGCGGGUCGGGCAUUGAGGAAACGCAGGUCCACCAGUCCUGCUCCGGGCUGUAACACUCCACCGUGCCCAGACACUGGCCUCCCACAGCGUACAGCUUCCCUUGUACCGCCAGCAGCUUGAAAUUGGACCUGGAGAGGAGGAGACACAAUGAGUGAGCAGAAACAAAACACAGGACGAUUGAUGAUGUAAAGAUCAGGACUCCUGUGAGGCUUCACCACAGACUUAUCGAAGCAGGAAACAGCAGUAGAGAGAAGAAGACGAGAGAUGAACCUGGAGUGGUUGUAUAUUUAUCU